GCGGGCAUCGUAUAAUGGCUAUUACCUCAGCCUUCCAAGCUGAUCAUGCGGGUUCGAUUCCCGCAGUGUGCU
rnacentral:tRNA from 1 species